rnacentral:rRNA from 1 species
UGCAAGUCGAACGGUAACAGGUCUUCGGAUGCUGACGAGUGGCGAACGGGUGAGUAAUACAUCGGAACGUGCCUAGUAGUGGGGGAUAACUACUCGAAAGAGUAGCUAAUACCGCAUGAGAUCUACGGAUGAAAGUAGGGGACCUUCGGGCCUUGUGCUACUAGAGCGGCUGAUGGCAGAUUAGGUAGUUGGUGGGGUAAAAGCUUACCAAGCCUGCGAUCUGUAGCUGGUCUGAGAGGACGACCAGCCACACUGGGACUGAGACACGGCCCAGACUCCUACGGGAGGCAGCAGUGGGGAAUUUUGGACAAUGGGCGAAAGCCUGAUCCAGCAAUGCCGCGUGCAGGAUGAAGGCCCUCGGGUCGUAAACUGCUUUUGUACGGAACGAAAAGCCUGGGGCUAAUAUCCCCGGGUCAUGACGGUACCGUAAGAAUAAGCACCGGCUAACUACGUGCCAGCAGCCGCGGUAAUACGUAGGGUGCAAGCGUUAAUCGGAAUUACUGGGCGUAAAGCGUGCGCAGGCGGUUUUGUAAGACAGUGGUGAAAUCCCCGGGCUCAACCUGGGAACUGCCAUUGUGACUGCAAGGCUAGAGUGCGGCAGAGGGGGAUGGAAUUCCGCGUGUAGCAGUGAAAUGCGUAGAUAUGCGGAGGAACACCGAUGGCGAAGGCAAUCCCCUGGGCCUGCACUGACGCUCAU